ensembl:lncRNA
CAAGUGUCUUGUUUCACAGAACUUCCCAUGCCAUCCUAACAAGUGCAGGAUGUCAUUUUUUCCUGUAUCUUAGGCCAAUGGUACAUACUUUUCUCUCUUUAUUGGCCUUUCUCACUGGUUUGUUUUGCUUGCAUACUAUGCCUCAUAGUAUUAUGACGCUGACCAACACUGGGAAGAAAAGCUCAAGCAGUCUGCACCGCAUGUACCAAACCUUCUGAUGAUCUCAUCUAAUUGUUCUUUAAAAAAAGCACAACAAAACGUGAAAUUGUUGUGACUCAAGAAAAAGAAGAAACUGCUUUGGAGUCUCCUCACUAUUGAUUCUGCUGUCAGUGUGAAUUCCCUGCACCCCUGUGAUCCGGAGACCAUUCAAAUGCUACUGAUUUGGACACUUCCAAGUUUAAGACUCACCCGUUCUCAGACAGAUCUCAUCUUUUGACUGGAACCAGGGUAUGAAAAAGUCAAAAACCUGCAAGAAAGAAAGGAGGAGAAUUACCUUUUCUGAGCUGAUUGAACUGUGACCUAGCAAUGUCAGUAACGAGAGAGCUAAGUCAUCACUGCUGCUUCUGCUUGAUUCGGACUUUAUCUUAACACUUUAGGGAGCUCACGGACCGAGCCUUCAUGCAGGAUUUUGUGGUUUCAAUGAACUGAAAGUAGGGCACUAAAGAUCGUCAGAGUAUUUCUUUGAUGACUGCAGCAGUUCUCACCGCUGCGGCACUGAUCUCCUGUUUUAAACGCUAAGCGAUUGCCAUUAGGCGGGUUCGUACCCUCCUUCCCGUGCAUCCUAUCCUAAGGUUUCACUCCCUCUCUCCGAAUACACAAAUUACCCAACGAGCCGGCGUCCCUACUGCUGCUGCACUUAGGAAAGUGAGAAGCGUUAGGUCUGCAUCCCCGAACCCGCUGUGCGCACAUGACCUCAAAGAACCCGAGAGUUCUCAAAAAAAGCACACAGCUACGGGCUUGUGAACACGGUGGGUUGAAUUCGGACAACAUACACGAGGGCGCACGGAGUUCUUUGAGCUGCACGUUUCCUACUUCCUUUCUUUGUUCGUUCUCAGGUUGUGAAAGGUGCCUUUCACUUCAUUCUAUUUAGAUCUUUGUUUUCUCGUGAUUCGGUCCCUCUCCGGUUCUGCCCCUCGCCACAGCUGAUUUCGGUGAACUCCAGAGGGAAAUCACUUGUGGAAGAGGCACAGCAAUUGCUUCAGCUACUGCUGCCUUCUGACUGAAUCGAAAGAUUCGCUUAGGCUCCUCUGCAAGUUAAAGAUGCCAUUUGUUUGCUCUCAAAGAUGAAUGCAAUGUCACAUCCCUUCCCUCCGAGGCUGUGGUGCUCCCCCAGCACCGUGGCGUUUCGUGCUGGCGUUGCUCACUGCGGGCUGCCGGUGUUGCUGCGGACAGAUAUGCGUGCAGAUCGAUGGGCAAGCAGCCAGCUCUGCUUGUGCUGAUGUAGUGCUCAGGAGCACCCUCCCCAGAUUUUAAUCCUCUGUGGCUAACUUUUCCUGUUCCUCUGUGGCAAUGCCAGAUAUGCCUGCUAUGACUUGAGGAGGUGGUACUCUUCCUGUUGCACAGAGAACAAAGUCUUUCUGGACUGAGCCGUGGUUCAGUUUUGUCAUCUGUUCUUAAGCUGAACCAUCACCACUUCAUGUUUUUUUUUUUUUUUUAAUGUGGCAAGUUCAGUAAGAAUUGGGUAACAUGUGACUAAUCUCUAUACCCCAUUUAAAAUCCAUUCGAAAUAGUGUUUUCUGCUUCAUUUCUUCUUGCCACCCCUCCAAAAAUUUGCCAGAUUACCCAAUUUCGUCUCUGUGUCUGGGUGCCACCCACCUCCCUGGUCUACUGAAAAUCCCCAUCCCAUACGGAUUGCUGGUCAUUUCCACAUGACAAUUUACUGAACGUCUUCUUCACGUCCAUACAGACAAAGGAAAAAAAGAGUGAUGUCUGGCGUUAACUUCAUCCUCCUUUUUUUCAAUAUUAAAAUGACUUUAACUGUCAAAGUUUGUUCUGAAGUCUCGUAUGUGACUGGCGCUCAUUCUGCUCAUCUUUCUCUCUUCCCCGUCUAUUUUUCUUCAGAUGGCAACGUUCCCAACUCAACGAAUUUACCAGCCCUCACUCGUCCAAACCCCGGCCUGAGUUGAUGAGUAAAAUAUGAACCAAUUGCCUCGGUUUUAGCACAUUUAACUCUUUGGUUUUGUUUCCACUUCGGGCAGUGACGUGCAUUUUGCAUUCAGCCUCGGCCACACCACAGCCUGGAAGCUUCUUAUGGCGAACAGAGGUGUGAGGCCUCACUUCAGACGCUCUCCUGAUGCACGGCAGGACUACACUUCUGCUUCUUUCUGCCAGUGCCACUGAAAACCUCUUUCUGUCCCCUUUGUGUCCCCGCCGAGCUCUCUCUGUCAGCGAUUCUCACAGGGCAGAGUCACACGCUAACCCUCUCCUUGUUGAGGGGCCUUCCCUUGAGAAGGUACGCAGUUCCUUCUCCAGACAGCUUCGCAGCCUUCCUUCCCCCCGCACCCCACUUCCCACGCUUCGCUCAGUUUUUCUCUUCGCCCCCGAGCCCGAUGCCGCCCUGCGACUGCGAGUCGCGCCUCAGAGGCGGGGCGGCC